rnacentral:rRNA from 1 species
ACUCCUACGGGAGGCAGCAGUGGGGAAUAUUGCACAAUGGGCGCAAGCCUGAUGCAGCCAUGCCGCGUGUAUGAAGAAGGCCUUCGGGUUGUAAAGUACUUUCAGCGGGGAGGAAGGCGAUAAGGUUAAUAACCUUGUUGAUUGACGUUACCCGCAGAAGAAGCACCGGCUAACUCCGUGCCAGCAGCCGCGGUAAUACGGAGGGUGCAAGCGUUAAUCGGAAUUACUGGGCGUAAAGCGCACGCAGGCGGUCUGUCAAGUCGGAUGUGAAAUCCCCGGGCUCAACCUGGGAACUGCAUUCGAAACGGGCAGGCUAGAGUCUUGGAGAGGGGGGUAGAAUUCCAGGUGUAGCGGUGAAAUGCGUAGAGAUCUGGAGGAAUACCGGUGGCGAAGGCGGCCCCCUGGACAAAGACUGACGCUCAGGUGCGAAAGCGUGGGGAGCAAACAGGAUUAGAUACCCCAGUAGUCCC